GGCGGACUAUUCAACCGUCACUUUGAACGAUGUUCGAAGAAGGUGAAAUGCGAGCGUAGCUUUGAUGAUGUGAUGAACGUGCUCCGCUUUGUUUUGGUUCGUCAUCUACGCACAGCAUCAAGCGCAGACAAUUGGAUAAAAACUAAAACCAAAGCAGGAAUCCAUAGUUGAUGGCUAAUUGUGAUGGCUGAAGAUGGUGUUUUUUGUAUUGUAGAAAACUAGUGCUAAUUGUCAUAGAAGUGUCUUUGAAUUCGUUUGUACCUAUUUGUCGUGUUCUGAUUAUUAUCCGUCGUCGUUGUAGAACCGGGAUGAAGUGCGCGUAAUAGUUUUGAUUACUGUAGCUUACCGAUCGUACAAAGGCCCCGGAGGUAGAACUGUGGAUGUAUUUGUAGCCAAAGGGAAAAACUAGAUUGUAAGUAUUUGUUUAAGUCAUUUUUUAUUGUUGUAUUUAAUGUUGAAAAUAUAUUUCUAGUUGAGUUUGUUGUCACCCGACAUACUUCAGAAUCGUUUACCCGCAUCC